rnacentral:misc_RNA from 1 species
CAAAAUUAUUGGGGGUGCAACUGUGCCCCCGCUGGAAGCGCCGGUAAGGCGUCUGACAGCACAACCCUGUGUGAAAUCCCCCCGUUGCUUCGGCAGCUCCUCCCGGGAGCGGUAAGCCUGCCGGCAGCAUUAAGGAAACCCAUUCUGAAAACCUGCACCUCGGUCUGAACAGCGCAGUCGAAAUGAUUAUA